UAGGGAAUCUUGCGCAAUGGACGAAAGUCUGACGCAGCAACGCCAUGUGUGGGAUGAAGCAUUUCGGUGUGUAAACCACUGUCGGCAGGGAAUAAAGCCUCGCUUUAUGCGAGGGGUGAAUGUACCUGCAGAGGAAGCCCCGGCUAACUUCGUGCCAGCAGCCGCGGUAAUACGAGGGGGGCUAGUGUUGUUCGGAAUCACUGGGCGUAAAGGGAGCGUAGGCGGGCGCUUGUGUUGGAUGUUUAAAACCGGGGCCCAACCCCGGCGCGGCAUUCAAAACUGGGCGUCUUGAAUGGGACAGAGGCCAGUGGAAUUGGAGGUGUAGCGGUGGAAUGCGUAGAGAUCUCCAAGAACACCAGUUGCGAAGGCGGCUGGCUGGGUCCACAUUGACGCUGAGGCUCGAAAGCGUGGGGAGCAAACAGGAUUAGAUACCCCCGUAGUCC
rnacentral:rRNA from 1 species